UACGUAGGGUGCAAGCGUUGUCCGGAAUUAUUGGGCGUAAAGAGCUCGUAGGCGGUUUGUCGCGUCUGUCGUGAAAGCUUGGGGCUUAACCCCAAGUCUGCGGUGGAUACGGGCAGACUAGAGGCAGGUAGGGGAGAACGGAAUUCCCGGUGUAGCGGUGAAAUGCGCAGAUAUCGGGAGGAACACCGGUGGCGAAGGCGGGUCUCUGGGCAACUACUGACGCUGAGGAGCGAAAGCGUGGGGAGCGAACAGG
rnacentral:rRNA from 1 species